rnacentral:rRNA from 1 species
AGGGUGCGAGCGUUGUCCGGAAUUACUGGGCGUAAAGGGCUCGUAGGUGGUUUGUCGCGUCGUCUGUGAAAUUCUGGGGCUUAACUCCGGGCGUGCAGGCGAUACGGGCAUAACUUGAGUGCUGUAGGGGUAACUGGAAUUCCUGGUGUAGCGGUGAAAUGCGCAGAUAUCAGGAGGAACACCGAUGGCGAAGGCAGGUUACUGGGCAGUUACUGACGCUGAGGAGCGAAAGCAUGGGUAGAGAACAGGAUUAGAUACCAUGGCACUCCAUUUCCUAUAUUGGGGGCCCUAGGCGUGGGGAUCGACUGCCGUGCCGUAGCUAACGCAUUAAGCGGCCCGACUGGGGAGUACGGCCGCAAGGCUAAAACUCAAAGGAAUUGACGGG